rnacentral:rRNA from 1 species
GGGGAAUAUUGGACAAUGGGCGAAAGCCUGAUCCAGCCAUGCCGCGUGUGUGAAGAAGGCCUUUUGGUUGUAAAGCACUUUAAGUGGGGAGGAAAAGCUUAUGGUUAAUACCCAUAAGCCCUGACGUUACCCACAGAAUAAGCACCGGCUAACUCUGUGCCAGCAGCCGCGGUAAUACAGAGGGUGCAAGCGUUAAUCGGAAUUACUGGGCGUAAAGCGCGCGUAGGUGGUUAUUUAAGUCAGAUGUGAAAGCCCCGGGCUUAACCUGGGAACUGCAUCUGAUACUGGAUAACUAGAGUAGGUGAGAGGGGAGUAGAAUUCCAGGUGUAGCGGUGAAAUGCGUAGAGAUCUGGAGGAAUACCGAUGGCGAAGGCAGCUCCCUGGCAUCAUACUGACACUGAGGUGCGAAAGCGUGGGUAGCGAACAGGAUUAGAUACCCUGGUAGUCCACGCCGUAAACGAUGUCUACCAGUCGUUGGGUCUUUUAAAGACUUAGUGACGCAGUUAACGCAAUAAGUAGACCGCCUGGGGAGUACGGCCGCAAGGUUA